AAACUAACAAGGAUUCCCCUAGUAACUGCGAGUGAAGCGGGAAAAGCUCAAAUUUAAAAUCUGACGUGUCUUUGGCCGUCCGAGUUGUAAUCUGGAGAAGUGUUUUCUGUGUUGGACCGUGUACAAGUCCCUUGGAAUAGGGCGUCAUAGAGGGUGAGAAUCCCGUCUUUGACACGGACUACCAAUGCUCUGUGAUACGCUCUCGAAGAGUCGAGUUGUUUGGGAAUGCAGCUCAAAAUGGGUGGUAAAUUCCAUCUAAAGCUAAAUAUUGGCGAGAGACCGAUAGCGAACAAGUACCGUGAGGGAAAGAUGAAAAGCACUUUGGAAAGAGAGUUAAACAGUACGUGAAAUUGUUGAAAGGGAAACGCUUGAAGUCAGUCGCGUCGUCCGGGACUCAGCCUUGCUUUUGCUCGGUGUACUUCCUGGUUGACGGGUCAACAUCGAUUUUGGUCGGCGGACAAUGGUGGGGGGAAUGUGGCACCUUUGGGUGUGUUAUAGCCUCCCGUCGGACGCGUCGACUGGGAUCGAGGACCGCAGCACGCCUUUUUGGCCGGGGUUCGCCCACGUAACGUGCUUAGGAUGUUGGCAUAAUGGCUUUAAGCGACCCGUCUUGAAACACGGACCAAGGAGUCUAACAUGCCUGCGAGUGUUAGGGUGGUAAACCCUUGCGCGCAAUGAAAGUGAAAGUUGGGACCUCUGUCAUGGGGGGCACCGACGCCCGGCCUUGAACUUCUGUGACGGUGCCGCGGUGGAGCAUGCAUGUUGGGACCCGAAAGAUGGUGAACUAUGCCUGAAUAGGGUGAAGCCAGAGGAAACUCUGGUGGAGGCUCGUAGCGAUUCUGACGUGCAAAUCGAUCGUCAAAUUUGGGUAUAGGGGCGAAAGACUAAUCGAACCAUCUAGUAGC
rnacentral:rRNA from 1 species